UACGAAGGGUGCAAACGUUGCUCGGAAUUAUUGGGCGUAAAGCGCACGUAGGCGGCGCUGCAAGUCCCAUGUGAAAUCCCACGGCUCAACCGUGGAAGUGCAUGGGAAACUGCAGUGCUUGAGUACUUAAGAGGAUCGCGGAAUUCCCGGUGUAGAGGUGAAAUUCGUAGAUAUCGGGAGGGACACCAGUGGCGAAGGCGGCGAUCUGGGAAGAUACUGACGCUGAGGUGCGAAAGCGUGGGGAGCAAACAGG
rnacentral:rRNA from 1 species